AUCCGGCUGACGAGUCCCAAACAGGACGAAACGCGCAUCCUGGAU
rnacentral:hammerhead_ribozyme from 1 species